rnacentral:rRNA from 1 species
UACGUAGGGUGCGAGCGUUAAUCGGAAUUACUGGGCGUAAAGCGUGCGCAGGCGGCUUUGCAAGACAGAUGUGAAAUCCCCGGGCUCAACCUGGGAACUGCAUUUGUGACUGCAAGGCUAGAGUACGGCAGAGGGGGAUGGAAUUCCGCGUGUAGCAGUGAAAUGCGUAGAUAUGCGGAGGAACACCGAUGGCGAAGGCGGCAUCCUGGACCGGUAUUGACGCUGAGGCGCGAAAGCCAGGGGAGCAAACGGG